AUUAACCAAGUCAAUGAUGAUUGGGAUCGCAAUAAGGAAAACAUGUAUGCCUCAUGGAUGCCUACUGUAAGAAGUCCGCAAGCUAGAAAAAAAGUUUUCAGGCCUAGAAUUCCAUCAUGUCGUCCACAACAACAAUGUAGCCGCUGAUGUGUUAUCAAAAAUGGGCUCAACACGUGCAGAAGUUCCAGCAGGGAUUUUUGUACAUGAGCUUCACAAACCCUCCAUACCAGAACAAGUUACUCCAGCAACUACCAAUACCAAACCUCCAAAUCCCAACCACGAGGUCAU
rnacentral:lncRNA from 1 species